UGGGGAAUAUUGGACAAUGGGCGCAAGCCUGAUCCAGCCAUGCCGCGUGAGUGAUGAAGGCCUUAGGGUUGUAAAGCUCUUUUAUCCGGGACGAUAAUGACGGUACCGGAAGAAUAAGCCCCGGCUAACUUCGUGCCAGCAGCCGCGGUAAUACGAAGGGGGCUAGCGUUGCUCGGAAUCACUGGGCGUAAAGGGCGCGUAGACGGACAUUUAAGUCAGGGGUGAAAUCCCGGGGCUCAACCUCGGAAUUGCCUUUGAUACUGGGUGUCUCGAGACCGGAAGAGGUAAGUGGAACUGCGAGUGUAGAGGUGAAAUUCGUAGAUAUUCGCAAGAACACCAGUGGCGAAGGCGGCUCACUGGCCCGAUACUGACGCUGAGGUGCGAAAGCGUGGGGAGCAAACA
rnacentral:rRNA from 1 species